rnacentral:rRNA from 1 species
UUCUGGCUCAGGAUGGAACGCUGGCGGCGUGCCUAAUACAUGCAAGUCGAGCGGACAGACGAGGUGCUUGCACCUCUGAAGUCAGGCGGCGGACGGGUGAGUAACACGUGGGUAACCUACCUGUAAGACUGGGAUAACUUCGGGAAACCGGAGCUAAUACCGGAUAAUAUUUUCCACCUCAUGGUGGAAUAGUGAAAGACGGUUUUGCUGUCACUUACAGAUGGACCCGCGGCGCAUUAGCUAGUUGGUGAGGUAACGGCUCACCAAGGCGACGAUGCGUAGCCGACCUGAGAGGGUGAUCGGCCACACUGGGACUGAGACACGGCCCAGACUCCUACGGGAGGCAGCAGUAGGGAAUCUUCCGCAAUGGACGAAAGUCUGACGGGGCAAACCGCCGCGUGAGUGAAGAAGGUCUUCGGAUCGUAAAACUCUGUUGUAAGGGAAGAACAAGUACGUUAGUAACUGAACGUACCUUGACGGUACCUUACCAGAAAGCCACGGCUAACUACGUGCCAGCCGCCGC